GACGAACGCUGGCGGCGUGCUUAACACAUGCAAGUCGAACGGGCCUGUCUUCUUUUUUGGGGGUGGGUUGAGUGGCGAACGGGUGAGUAUCACGUGAGUAACCUGCCCUUCGGUCCUGGAUAACCGCUUGAAAGGGCGGCUAAUACGGGGUGGUCCGGUUGGUCCGCAUGGGCUGGUCGGGAUAGAUUCACUGUUUUUGGUGUUUCGGCGGGGGAUGGGCUCGCGGCCUAUCAGCUUGUUGGUGGGGUGAUGGCCUACCAAGGCGGUGACGGGUAUCCGGCCGGAGAGGGGGGGGGGCCACACUGGGACUGGGAUACGGCCGAGACACCUGCGGGAGGGAGCAGUGGGGGGUAUUGCACAAUGGGCGGAAGCCUGAUGCAGCGACGUCGCGUGAGGGAUGGAGGCCUUCGGGUUGUGAACCUCUGUUUCCGGUGGUGAAGGCCCUGUCCGUGUGGUGGGGUUGACGGUAGCCGGGGAUGAAGCGCCGGCUAACUACGUG
rnacentral:rRNA from 1 species